UGGGGAAUUUUGGACAAUGGGCGAAAGCCUGAUCCAGCAAUGCCGCGUGUGUGAAGAAGGCCUUCGGGUUGUAAAGCACUUUUGUCCGGAAAGAAAUCCUUGGCUCUAAUACAGUCGGGGGAUGACGGUACCGGAAGAAUAAGCACCGGCUAACUACGUGCCAGCAGCCGCGGUAAUACGUAGGGUGCAAGCGUUAAUCGGAAUUACUGGGCGUAAAGCGUGCGCAGGCGGUUUGCUAAGACCGAUGUGAAAUCCCCGGGCUCAACCUGGGAACUGCAUUGGUGACUGGCAGGCUAGAGUAUGGCAGAGGGGGGUAGAAUUCCACGUGUAGCAGUGAAAUGCGUAGAGAUGUGGAGGAAUACCGAUGGCGAAGGCAGCCCCCUGGGCCAAUACUGACGCUCAUGCACGAAAGCGUGGGGAGCAAACAGGAUUAGAUACCCUGGUAGUCCACGCCCUAAACGAUGUCAACUAGUUGUUGGGGAUUCAUUUCCUUAGUAACGUAGCUAACGCGUGAAGUUGACCGCCUGGGGAGUACGGUCGCAAGAUUAAAACUUAAAGGAAUUGACGGGAUC
rnacentral:rRNA from 1 species